rnacentral:tRNA from 1 species
GCGUCUGUAGCCUAGUUGGUUAAAGGCAGCAAUCUAGCAUGUGCCUCAGUUAUACUGAGGCCGUGAGUUCGAAUAUCACCAGACACA